UCUUCAAGGUUCUACCUUGACGAAUUGUAGUUUAAAGAAGUGUUUUCUGUUAGAGGAGUGGCAAAAGUUCUUUGGAAUAGGACAUCAUAGAGGGUGAGAAUCCCGUAUUUGGUCAUUCUUUCUAGCUGUGUGAUACACUUUCAAAGAGUCGGAUUGUUUGGGAAUGCAGUCCAAAAUGGGUGGUAAAUUUCAUCUAAGGCUAAAUAUUGGCGAGAGACCGAUAGCGAACAAGUACCGUGAGGGAAAGAUGAAAAGAACUUUGAAAAGAGAGUUAAACAGUACGUGAAAUUGUCAAAAGGGAAGCGUUUGACACCAGUGUUGUUUUUCCGAAAAUCAAUUGUGCCUGGCUGGAUUUUGUAGGAGUUUGACCUUAUCAGCUUCUUCUGCUUUUUUCCGGUCUGGUGCAAUGCACUUUUCGGUUAACAAGUCAACAUCAAUUUCUUUUGUUGUAAAAGGGUAAUUGGAAGGUGGCUUUCUUUUCGGAGAAAGUGUUUAUAGCCUUUUACCUCUACAAUCGGAGAGAUUGAGGUCUGCAGCGUAGAUCCUUCGGGGUUAGAUACAUUUGUGCUAAGUUAUAGCCCUGUAUAGACAACUUGUUGACUAUACUCGGUCGUGUAGCUUACUCGCUUAUGCUAUUUUACCUACGCUUAGGAUGUUGACAAAAUGGUUUUAAACGACCCGUCUUGAAACACGGACC
rnacentral:rRNA from 1 species